rnacentral:lncRNA from 1 species
AUGAUCAUCGUCGUCGCGCUUAUCUAUUUCCUAACCUCGAGCGUCCUCAAUGUCCAGUCCUACAUCCUCGGCCGCAGAGUCUCCGAGGACUCAUGUCGCAUAUCCUUGAGCCGGGACCUGGCCACGAUCCCGUCGCUGAUGAUCAACGAGAGCGCGGGGACCCUCAUCUACCCGACAGAGGAUGACGUCAUCGUCCUGGCUCCCAACGCCGAGUUCCUCCUGUACUGCCCGUCCGGCUUCGCCGAGCGCCGGAUCCAGCCGAGGGGCAUCAGGGUCGUCUGCAAGCGGGACAGCUCGGUCGUAUACGGCAACGCCACCUACCGGAUCAACCAACUCGGCUGCACCAAGCACCCCGAUUCCACCCUCCGCCGAACCGGAGCCACCUGCUCGCAAGGGAACUACACGCUCCUUCACGUGGGCUACGAGUAUGAGUCUGAAGAGAGUCCCAGCGUCGGCGGUGAAGGAGAUGAUGGAGGGAACGGCGUGGGUCUCGACAACGACGUCGAUGCGGACGAGGAGGAGACGGAAACGGGUCGAAACGAAACCGGAAAUGGUAUCGAAGCGGAGACGGAAGUGAGCCGGGAUGAAACCGGAAAUGAGAUCCGUGGAGUUGAAGCGGAGACAGAAGUGAGUGUGAGUGAAAGUGGAGACAGCGUUCGUGUAGUCGAAUCGGGAAUGGAAACAGACGCAGAUGAAACCGGAAAUGGGGUCCGUGCGGUCGAAGCGGAGACAGAAGUAAGUGUGGAUGAAAGUGGAGAUGGCAUUCGAGGAGGCGAAUCGGGCAAGGAAACGGACGCUGAUGAAACCGGAAAUGAGGUCCUUGCUGUCGAAGCGGAGACAGAAGUAAGUGUGGAUGAAAGUGGAGAUGGCGUUCAAGGAGUCGAGCCGGAAAAGGAAACGGUCGCAUAUGAAACCGGGAAUGGGGCCGUGCGGUCGAAGCGGGGACAGAAGUAAGUGUGGAUGAAAGUGGAAGUGGCAUUCGAGGAGGCGCAUCGGGUAAGGAAACGGACGCUGAUAAAACCGGAAAUGAGGUCCGUGUAGUCAGAGUGGAAGUAGAAGAGGAUGAGGAGAAGACGGCAGAAGUGAAGAUGGAAAUCGGAAUGGGUGAAACCGGAAAUGGUUUCCGUACCAUGAAGCCCGAUCAUUUCAGUGGUAAACUCAAGGUUGGUAAGCAGGGAGGAGCCGCGCCGACAACUACGAAUGGAGGAGUUAAGAAUGAUUUUGAGCUGAGAAACUUG